rnacentral:tRNA from 1 species
ACUCAAAUAGUUUAAAAAAAAUAUUAGUUUGUGGCGCUUAAGAUGUAAAGAUUUACUUUGAGUA